UACGUAGGUGGCUAGCGUUGUCCGGAUUUACUGGGCGUAAAGAGCGCGCAGGCGGUCGUUCAAGUCGAGUGUGAAAGCCCCCGGCUCAACUGGGGAGGGUCACUCGAUACUGAUCGACUUGAAGGCGGGAGAGGGAAGCGGAAUUCCCGGUGUAGUGGUGAAAUGCGUAGAUAUCGGGAAGAACACCCGUGGCGAAGGCGGCUCUCUGGGACGGUACUGACGCUGAGACGCGAAAGCGUGGGGAGCGAACAGG
rnacentral:rRNA from 1 species